UACAGAGGGUGCAAGCGUUAAUCGGAAUUACUGGGCGUAAAGCGUGCGUAGUCGGUUAUCUAAGUCGGGUGUGAAAUCCCCGGGCUCAACCUGGGAAUUGCAUUCGAUACUGGAUAGCUAGAGUUCGGCAGAGGGAAGCGGGAUUUCGGGUGUAGCGGUGAAAUGCGUAGAUAUCCGAAGGAACAUCAGUGGCGAAAGCGGCUUCCUGGACCAGAACUGACGAUCAGGCACGAAAGCGUGGGGAGCA
rnacentral:rRNA from 1 species